rnacentral:rRNA from 1 species
UACGUAGGGGGCAAGCGUUGUCCGGAUUUAUUGGGCGUAAAGAGCGUGUAGGCGGCCAGAUAGGUCCGUUGUGAAAACUGGAGGCUUAACCUCCAGCGGUCGAUGGAAACCAUUUGGCUAGAGUCCGGAAGAGGAGAGUGGAAUUCCUGGUGUAGCGGUGAAAUGCGCAGAUAUCAGGAAGAACACCCGUGGCGAAGGCGGCUCUCUGGGACGGUACUGACACUGAGACACGAAAGCCAGGGGAGCAAACGGG